GUGCUCACAUCAGCAGCACAUACACUAGAAUUGGAAUAAUACAGAGUAGAUUAGCAUGGCCCCUGCCCAAAGAUGACAUGUAAAUUCGUGAAGACUUCCAUAUUUUU
rnacentral:snRNA from 1 species